UACGUAGGGUGCAAGCGUUGUCCGGAAUUAUUGGGCGUAAAGAGCGUGUAGGCGGCCCGAUUAGUCCGCUGUGAAAGUCCAGGGCUCAACCCUGGAAUGCCGGUGGAUACUGUCGGGCUAGAGUCCGGAAGGGGCGAGUGGAAUUCCUGGUGUAGCGGUGAAAUGCGCAGAUAUCAGGAGGAACACCAAUGGCGAAGGCGGGUCUCUGGACAGUUCCUGACACUGAGACACGAAGGCCAGGGGAGCAAACGGG
rnacentral:rRNA from 1 species